ACACUGGUACUGAGACACGGACCAGACUCCUACGGGAGGCAGCAGUGAGGAAUAUUGGUCAAUGGACGCAAGUCUGAACCAGCCAUGCCGCGUGCAGGAUGACGGCUCUAUGAGUUGUAAACUGCUUUUGUACGAGGGUAAACGCAGAUACGUGUAUCUGUCUGAAAGUAUCGUACGAAUAAGGAUCGGCUAACUCCGUGCCAGCAGCCGCGGUAAUACGGAGGAUUCAAGCGUUAUCCGGAUUUAUUGGGUUUAAAGGGUGCGUAGGCGGUUUGAUAAGUUAGAGGUGAAAUUUCGGGGCUCAACCCUGAACGUGCCUCUAAUACUGUUGAGCUAGAGAGUAGUUGCGGUAGGCGGAAUGUAUGGUGUAGCGGUGAAAUGCUUAGAGAUCAUACAGAACACCGAUUGCGAAGGCAGCUUACCAAACUAUAUCUGACGUUGAGGCACGAAAGCGUGGGGAGCAAACAGGAUUAGAUACCCUGGUAGUCCACGCAGUAAACGAUGAUAACUCGUUGUCGGCGAUACACAGUCGGUGACUAAGCGAAAGCGAUAAGUUAUCCACCUGGGGAGUACGUUCGCAAGAAUGAAACUCAAAGGAAUUGACGGGGGCCCGCACAAGCGGAGGAACAUGUGGUUUAAUUCGAUGAUACGCGAGGAACCUUACCCGGGCUUGAAAGUUAGCGACGAUUCUUGAAAGAGGAUUUCCCUUCGGGGCGCGAAACUAGGUGCUGCAUGGUUGUCGUCAGCUCGUGCCGUGAGGUGUCGGGUUAAGUCCCAUAACGAGCGCAACCCCUACCGUUAGUUGCCAUCAGGUGAAGCUGGGCACUCUGGCGGGACUGCCGGUGUAAGCCGAGAGGAAGGUGGGGAUGACGUCAAAUCAGCACGGCCCUUACGUCCGGGGCUACACA
rnacentral:rRNA from 1 species